rnacentral:tRNA from 1 species
GCCCACGUAAUACGGUUGCGUGCGAUGAUUGUUUGGUGGAUCCAAUCGAAGCGUUGCCGGUUCGAAUCCGGCCGUGGGCA